UUUUUGAUAAUAAUUUAAAGUCAAAUCUGCCCACUGAUUUUAUUAAAGGGCUGCAGUAAAUUGACUGUACAAAGGUAGCAUAAUCAUUAGUCUUUUAAUUGAAGACUUGUAUGAAUGAUUUGAUGAAAUAUAAACUGUCUCUUUUUUAAAAUUAGAAUUUAAUUUUUUAGUAAAAAAGCUAAAAUUAUUUUAAAAGACGAGAAGACCCUAUAGAGUUUUAUAAUUAAUUUAUUUAUAAUUUUUUUAUUUUUGUUAUAAUAAAAAUUAAAUUAAUUAUUUUAUUGGGGUGAUAAAAAAAUAAAAUGAACUUUUUUUUAAAAAAAACAUUAAUUAAUGAAAAUAUGAUCCAUAAUUUAUGAUUAUAAGAAAAAAUUACCUUAGGGAUAACAGCGUAAUUUUUUUUUUUAGUUCAUAUAAAAAAAAAAGUUUGCGACCUCGAUGUUGGAUUAAGAUAAAAUUUAAAUGUAGAAGUUUAAAAUUUUUGAUCUGUUCGAUCAUUAAAAUCUUACA
rnacentral:rRNA from 1 species